rnacentral:rRNA from 1 species
UUGACCUCAAAUCAGGUAGGACUACCCGCUGAACUUAAGCAUAUCAAUAAGCGGAGGAAAAGAAACUAACGAGGAUUCCCCUAGUAACUGC